CUGUUUCCUCUGAUUCCCUCGUUCCUCGCAGAGAUUAUUCAAUUUCUUUCUCGAAGUCACAUUGCCGUUUUCCUUCACAUCGAAAAUUUACUUGGACUGGAGUGAUAUAGUCCAGUUUGUUUGGAUGUAUGUGGUACGCAGAGGCUGGUAGAAAACACAGUCAGUUUUGUGUUUAAAGGCUUUGGUUUGCCUACUGAAACGCUUGAUGUUGGAGCGCUUCUCUUGGCACUUCUCCCUAAGUAUCCCCAGUGGAUAGCGGCCAAGGUUUCUUUUCCACAACGUGGAUAAAUACCAUUAAGAUUUGACGAAACAGCACAUUGGGUAAUACUGCUGUCAUACCACCAGCCUCCUCCUAUUUGUUGAGCACAACCAGCAGGAACCUUAUCCCAGGUACCAAAAACGAAACCUUUAUGAGGACCGAGUGAAUCAUUGGAAACAGUGGCAUCUGUUUCAAAACAGAACAAAAGAAAUCCGCAUAAUUCAAGGGCGGUUUAUCUUGUCUAGUCCGAGCCAAAAUUCACCGACCAAGUUACCGAAGCCAUGCUUGUAAUCAUCCCAGCUGCGGUUAAAAUCGACAGAGCCAUCCAUUCUCUUCUGGAUCACCGUCCAUCCCCCACCGGUUGUAGUUUGGUCACAGUAUACAUUAAAGGCGCCUGAACCAUCCGGGUCGAUUGUGUAAACACCGCUGACCCUUUGACCAGAUUUGUACAGCUCAGCGCAGUUCUUAGCUAUUGAAGAUAAAAUAAAGGCGUCCGAUGGCGCGAGAAUGUCUAAAACGAGGGUGGAUAUAGAUUUGCACCUGACGAAAAAUGUAUAAAAAGUUUAUAUCUUGGAAAGAAAAAGACGGAACCUACAUUUUUCGUAGAUCUUUUAUCUUAUUUGUCGUGUAAAAUUAAAUGGUAUGAACAUGAAAGUUUAUUAACGUACUUUGUAGACGAACACUGAUUAUAAGCGAAAGAAGUGCUACUUGAUCGACUCAUUAUAAUCUGUAUUAUUUUUUUAUCAUUCUUCCCUUCACUUCAACAAUCACAACCUUUGAUUAAUUACAACAAAAUAGAGAAAAUUGGAGAUAGGUAUAAUAAAGCAAGCUAAUUAGAUGACCUUUACGCCAAAUAACAUUUUUUUUCAUACAAUACAAUAGAACAAAAGCGAUUGAUAUAUGAGAGGGAAUAGGAAUCACACUUUUAACAACAAAUAUAUCAAUAGUACAUAGUGAAAGGAAGACGUUAAUAAAUACUAAGAAAAGUAAUACAUAAAAACUGCUCUUUAAAAAAUGUUUUCUAGUGGGCUUCUCCCGCACUGAUAUAGGAAUAUCAUUUCAAUAGUAGCAUUCGAUAACUGUUGCACAGAAUCUCCUUAUAUUUAUUCUGAAGGUGCAAGUGUUCGGGUGCUGCAACUAUAUACUUAUAGUGUCAUAA